CUCUCUCCCUCCCGAAGGUCUCUUCCCUUCCUUCUCAUGUGGGUGCUUAAUCAAGGUGGUUGGUGCUUAAUCUCAAGGAUGCUUAAUCAACGAUGGCCGGAGGUCAGUAAAAAUUUAUUUAUUUAUUAUUAAUCCGCUGCAUGAUAUUUUUAUAGGAGUUUGAGUAGGACCCUUCCUAUUUUCUUCUUUCUUGCAUGACAUAAGGAAUGGUUCUCUUCCUCUCUUCCUGUAAAGGCUCGUUUGGUUCGCGGGAAGCAUUUUUCCUCGUAGGAAUAUGAUUCCUGGAAAACAAGAAAAAGAUAUAUGGGAAAGUACUUUUAGCAUGAUUGGUUGACCAUAAAAAAGUGAUAGAAUUUCAGAGUGCUUAUGUUUGGUUGACCAUCCAUUUUUCUGAGAAAGUUAUAUGUAAUUCCUAUUAUAACCUUAAUAAAAAUUAGGUCUUUAAUGCUGAAGGGCCUUUUUGGAAAAAAAAUAAAAAUGUUUCGAUUUUCGGUUCAUAGAAAAGUAAUUUUCUUAUAUUUCUCAUGGAAAAGACUUUUUCAUGAAACGUGGGAUAUUUCCAUGGAAAUACAACUUUCUCGUUUCUUUUCUUUGAAAACUCCAAUCAAACA
rnacentral:lncRNA from 1 species